rnacentral:rRNA from 1 species
AGAGUUUGAUCCUGGCUCAGGACGAACGCUGGCGGCGUGCCUAAUACAUGCAAGUCGAACGCACUGACGUCGACAGAAGGUGCUUGCACUGGAAGUUGAUUGACGUGAGUGGCGGACGGGUGAGUAACACGUGGGUAACCUGCCCUUAAGCGGGGGAUAACAUUUGGAAACAGAUGCUAAUACCGCAUAAAAGUUGAGAUCACAUGGUCUUAAUUUGAAAGACGGCCUUUGGCUGUCACUUAAGGAUGGACCCGCGGCGUAUUAGCUAGUUGGUGAGAUAAUAGCCCACCAAGGCGAUGAUACGUAGCCGACCUGAGAGGGUAAUCGGCCACAUUGGGACUGAGACACGGCCCAAACUCCUACGGGAGGCAGCAGUAGGGAAUCUUCCACAAUGGACGAAAGUCUGAUGGAGCAACGCCGCGUGAGUGAAGAAGGUUAUCGGAUCGUAAAACUCUGUUGUUGGAGAAGAACAGGGACUAGAGUAACUGUUAGUCCUUUGACGGUAUCCAACCAGAAAGCCACGGCUAACUACGUGCCAGCAGCCGCGGUAAUACGUAGGUGGCAAGCGUUGUCCGGAUUUAUUGGGCGUAAAGCGAGCGCAGGCGGUUUCUUAAGUCUGAUGUGAAAGCCUUCGGCUUAACCGAAGAAGUGCAUCAGAUACUGGGAAACUUGAGUGCAGAAGAGGAAAGUGGAACUCCAUGUGUAGCGGUGAAAUGCGUAGAUAUAUGGAAGAACACCAGUGGCGAAGGCGGCUUUCUGGUCUGUAACUGACGCUGAGGCUCGAAAGUAUGGGGAGCGAACAGGAUUAGAUACCCUGGUAGUCCAUACCGUAAACGAUGAAUGCUAAAUGGUGGAGGGUUCCCCCCU